CAUAUUUGCAAACAUACAUGUAGACGUACAUAUUUAUGCACUUAUGCGGACAAUAAUAACAUAAAUCAAUGUAAAACAAAAUUAAAAUAUUAGCUUAAUUUUAAUAAAUAAAUGGGGGCUGCCCUGCGGAUAUAUACAAUUAGGUUGGAAUAUAUACAUUAAUACAUAUUAAAUUGCGAAUUUCGUGCUCUUCUACGAAAUUGUUGCGCGCACAUACAUGAAGAUCAAGAUCUGAAAAUGAGGAAAACUAUGGAUAUCUUUCAAAAUGUAAUAGAUAAAUGUUGUUGAAUAAAUAAAAGCUCAAAAAUCUGUUGUCUUGUAUUUUUGUCGGAAUAAAGUAUAUAUAUUGCAUGCGUACUAAUUAGUCGCCGAUUAUGCAAAUUAGGCUGAG